ACUUGUUUAAUUUUCAUAGAUUUCUUCAACCUCAAUUCAAGAUUCUAAUGUCAAGCCUGCACAUGAGAUGCUGUAGCCGUCUACUCAAGCUGUUCAGUCACAGCCAAAGAGAUUACAUAUGUGAAUUUCCAGAAUGAGAGACCCAGAAAAUGCCAUGGUUUAGUUCUCCAACUCCAGGCUGCCUUAAACAUUAGCAAACUGAGUCUGACAGAGGGAAUGGUACACCUGGAAUCAUAUGACAAGUGAGUAACAGAACCUUUGUUAUAAUGACUCAGCAUAGAGGAAGUACUAGCGUCCUGGAUCAGGUUGCUAGUUUAUAUCCUUUCAUUGUUAUCAUACCAAUAUCAAGCACAGUCAUCAUGAUUUCUUCUUUAUGUCAAAAUCUUACCCCGUCUUCAGUAAGAAGACGUUUAGAGAGCAGGACU